rnacentral:rRNA from 1 species
AGUGAACGCUGGCGGUAGGCCUAACACAUGCAAGUCGAACGGCAGCACAGUAAGAGCUUGCUCUUACGGGUGGCGAGUGGCGGACGGGUGAGGAAUACAUCGGAAUCUACUUUUUCGUGGGGGAUAACGUAGGGAAACUUACGCUAAUACCGCAUACGACCUACGGGUGAAAGCAGGGGAUCUUCGGACCUUGCGCGAUUGAAUGAGCCGAUGUCGGAUUAGCUAGUUGGCGGGGUAAAGGCCCACCAAGGCGACGAUCCGUAGCUGGUCUGAGAGGAUGAUCAGCCAGACUGGAACUGAGACACGGUCCAGACUCCUACGGGAGGCAGCAGUGGGGAAUAUUGGAGAAUGGGCGCAAGCCUGAUCCAGCCAUACCGCGUGGGUGAAGAAGGCCUUGGGGUUGUAAAGCCCUUUUGUUGGGAAAGAAAAGAAGCAGGUUAAUACCCCGCUGUUCUGACGGUACCCAAAGAAUAAGCACCGGCUAACUUCGUG